rnacentral:lncRNA from 1 species
UUAUUAGCUACUUAUUGCUGAUGUGGUGAUGCUAGUAGUAUCGAUCUCGUAGCUUGGGGAUCGACCCUCCUGCUUUGCAAAGCGCAUUGGGGAUUUUCUUCAUUAGCCAGCAGUGGUAGUAGGUGUGGCCACUUCACCACCCGGCCUUGUUCAACCAAAGCAUGCUGCUACUGCUGUGAUUACUGACUGAUUUACCCUCAACGAAGAUCAUUGCGAGGCCGACUGGAGUGGAUUGGGGUGGAUGCUUGCUUGGCCUAAAUUGCCUCACACAAUACCUCUCUUCUAACUAAAAUAGUAUAAUUGGGUUAGCAUUUGUGCAUCUUGCUUCCUUUCCAUGGAGCUCACUUGCUGCUGCUAGAAUGUGUAGUAUGUAUGUAUGCUACAUGGGGCGAUGCGUAUGCGACAUUCAUAAAUAGUAUGUUAUCGAUAUGUUCUAGAAAGCUAAUAAAUAGUUUGAAAUUGUGAAUAAGAUGGUAAAGCAGUCAUAAUCAUGUCAAACUUUUUUGUUGUCUCAAUAAUAUGUUGUUCAAAAUUAACAGCGCCGAAUGUUUGAUUUCCGAAAAAUGUUGAUAUGGGAACUACGUCUGGUAAAUACUUCCAAGUCUGCUGCCUGAGCAUCAUCGACCCUGGUAUAUAGCACCACAUUUCUCAUUGUCUUACCUGGUUCCUAUGUUUAUAAAGCGGUAAAGCGAAGCGAGGAGCUAGGGGGGCGCCUCACUGCUUAAGCGAUAAAGCAUAAAGCGAGGCGACGCUUUAGACAGACUCUGAACCUGAUGGGCAGUAUAAUAGAGCACCAUUUAGUGAGACAUAUAUAUGUUGAUUCUAAUCCACCAGUGAGCCCAUAUAUUCUGAUCCAUCCACUAAGCAGUAAGCAACUAGCCAAUUGCUAUAAGAGAGGCAGUAGCACCUAACAGCAGAGGAGUUGUGCAUAGCAUAACACACAACAGAGCAGAAAAGGCUGGUGCAGAUCUGAGGAAGCUGCUGCCAGAGGAGAGAGGAAAGAGCUGAAAGCUUGGAUAUUUGCACGCUCUGGUUUUGGUUCUCUCUCUUUCUUUCCCCUCCUGUAACUGUUUCAAAUGUGAGCCCAGCCCUGUUUCCCUGCCAGGAAUCUCUGUACCCUGCCUGGCAAGUCUAAGGCGUCCUCUCUGCCUUAAAGCGCCAAUCAGGACGCCUAAGCAGGCGCUUCAGACGCUUUAGUGUCUAAGGCGGACGCCUUAGACACAUGCCUAAAGCGAGUUGGACGCUUUGAGCCUGGAGGGCGCUCUAACGCUAGCGACGCUUUAGGGACGCUUUACAAACAGAGCCUGGUUCAUACUUUGAUAUACCACAACUGGGUUUCUAAUCAUGCUCUAUUCCUAGUUGAAUUUUCAGGCGAUUCCGACAUCAUCAACGCAACACCAGCUGUACAAAGUAACUAAAAAUUCCCAGGUUGUACCCUGUUCAAACUAUGCUACAUAUCAGCACAUGCUAAUUGUUAAUGUGCAUGCUCAACCAGAAAUUAGAAUUGCCUCUGUAAGAUGUUGUUUGCCAGUCGUCCAACAGCAACUUGGUUCUGAUUAUCUUCUUAGUGAUGUUGUCUUGUUCUUUUUCUGAAGUAGUACUGCUUUAUCCAAGCCUGGAUCUCCUCUAUACUGUAGUCCUGCCAUGCAAUCUGAUCCUGACACAAAACAUUACUCUGUCUAACCCAUGUUUGAUUUAUAACAUAGUAAUAUUGUGUAGCUUGAUUAUUUGUAAAAUGGCGGCAAAUGCUGCUGCAAAGAUAUUAGUGGUAUAUGUGCAUGCAUUUGACAAUAUGAUAUCACAUGUGUGUUUGAACAUUAACCAUAUAGAUUAUGGUACUGUUAAUUUUGUGCACUUGAAUGAGUGCUUGGUGUUGAUAUUUUCUUAAAUGAGCAUUAUUUUGUCUUAUAAUAGAUUGAUUUGCACUGUUUUGGUUAAUCAUAGUCCCACAACCAUAUGUGAUUUGAUUGACUGAGAUGUUGCAGUAGACUUUGUUGCUAGCUAUUUAAGAUCACUUAAGAUAUUAUAUAAACAUCAUGUUGUGAUAGUGGUGGUCAUCGUGUUAAAUAAAUUGUAACACUGGUAGUCUAGCAGAAAUUUUGAUCAAAUUGGAACUUUCAUAUGCUUAUAAAGCUUUCCUAUGAACAUUCAUAGGGAUUUUAGCAUGGCUGUUGUUGGCCCUUUGUAUUAAUAUGUAAUUAGUGUAUGUACAAACUGAAUGUUAAAUUGACAAGGAUUUCUGAUGGCGGUGGUGCACAUCCCGCGCCAAUUCAAGGUGUCGGACUGUUUCCUGAACAGGAAGAAGGACUACAAGGACGGGACGUUCUCCUAGGUCGUCUCCAAUGCCAUCGAUAUGAAGCUCAGGGAUGACCUUGAGAGGCUCAAGAAGAUCAG